CUACGGGCCGCUGCAGUGAGGAAUUUUGCGCAAUGGGGGAAACCCUGACGCAGCAACGCCGCGUGAGCGAAGAAGGCCCUCGGGUCGUAAAGCUCUGUCAAGUGGGAAAAAAAUUUUUUGAUCAAUAGUCAAAAGACUUGAUGGUACCACUGGAGGAAGCACCGGCUAACUCCGUGCCAGCAGCCGCGGUAAUACGGAGGGUGCAAGCGUUGUUCGGAUUUACUGGGCGUAAAGAGCGUGUAGGCGGUUUAGCAAGUCAGAUGUGAAAGCCCUGGGCUCAACCCGGGAAGUGCAUUUGAAACUGCUUCACUAGAGUAUGGGAGAGGAGAUUGGAAUUCCUGGUGUAGAGGUGAAAUUCGUAGAUAUCAGGAGGAACACCCGUGGCGAAGGCGAUUCUCUGGACCAAUACUGACGCUGAGACGCGAAGGCGUGGGGAGCAAACAGGAUUAGAUACCCCUGUAGUC
rnacentral:rRNA from 1 species